rnacentral:rRNA from 1 species
UACAGAGGGGGCAAGCGUUGUUCGGAAUUACUGGGCGUAAAGCGAGUGUAGGCGGUUCGGUAAGUCGGAUGUGAAAGCCCCGGGCUCAACCCGGGAAGUGCACUCGAUACUGCCGAGCUAGAGUAUCGGAGAGGUUGGUGGAAUUCUCGGUGUAGAGGUGAAAUUCGUAGAUAUCGAGAGGAACACCGGUGGCGAAGGCGGCCAACUGGAUGAAUACUGACGCUGAGACUCGAAAGCGUGGGGAGCAAACAGG